rnacentral:rRNA from 1 species
CAAUAGCGUAUAUUAAAGUUGUUGCAGUUAAAAAGCUCGUAGUUGGAUGUCUGGCUCUGUGUUGCGGUCCACCGCAAGGUGAGCACUGCGAUGUGGGGUCUUCCUCUUGAAUGCUGCGUGUGCUCUUAGUUGAGUGUGCGUGGGGUUUGGGAUCUUACUUGAAAAAUUAGAGUGUUCAAAGCAGGCGAUUGCUUGAAUAUAUUAGCAUGGAAUAAUGGAAUAGGACUUGGGUUCUAUUUUGUUGGUUUCUAGGACUCAAGUAAUGAUUGAUAGGGACAGUUGGGGGUGCUGCUAUUAUAUGGCCAGAGGUGAAAUUCACGGAUUCAUAUAAGAGCAACUUAUGCGAAAGCAUUCACCAAGGAUGUCUUCUUUAAUCAAGAACGAAAGUUGGGGAUCGAAGAUGAUCAGAUAC